AAUGAACGUUGGCGGCGUGGAUUAGGCAUGCAAGUCGUACGGGUCGGUGUAGCAAUACAACGGCAAGUGGCGAAAGGGAGAGUAACACGUAGAUACCUACCCUCUGGUCGGGGAUACCGCGGCAUCACCGCAAGUAAUACCCGAUAAAAUCUCCGGAUCAACGGUGUAAUUCCGCCGGAGGACGGUGCUGCGUUCUAUCAGCUUGUUGGUGAGGUAAUGGCUCACCAAGGCUAAGACGGAUACGGGGUGUGAGAGCAUGCCCCCGCUCACUGGGACUGAGACACUGCCCAGACACCUACGGGUGGCUGCAGUCGAGAAUCUUCGGCAAUGGGCGCAAGCCUGACCGAGCGACGCCGCGUGCGGGAUGAAGGCCUUCGGGUUGUAAACCGCUGUCGAGGGGAAUGAAGUGUAGGUGGGUACUCCCAUCUAUUUGACAGAUCCCUGGAGGAAGCAUGGGCUAAGUUCGUGUCAGCCGCCGCCGUAACAC
rnacentral:rRNA from 1 species